rnacentral:rRNA from 1 species
ACAUGCAUACAACAUAACAUUAAUGUACCAGAUCUCAUUAGAACUCUGUAGUUAAGCGCGCUUAGGCUAGAUUAGUACUGGGAUGGGUGACUGCCUGUGAAGUCCUAGUGUUUUACAUGCC